UUUAAGGUCUGGCCUGCCCAAUGAGUUAUUUAAUGGCCGCAGUAUCUUGACUGUGCAAAGGUAGCAUAAUAAUUAGUUCCCUAAUUAGGAGCUUGAAUGAAUGGUUGGACGAGAAAGUUUCUGUCUCAUUAUUAUUUUUUUUGAAUUUUAUUUUUAAGUAAGAAAGCUUAAAUUUUUUUAAAAGACGAGAAGACCCUAUAGAACUUUAUAUUUUAUUAUAAGUUAGUUAAAGGGGAUUUUUUAAUUAAUAUAUAAUAAUUUAUUUUAUUGGGGCGAUAGAAAAAUUUAAUUAACUUUUUUAAAUUGUUUUACAUUUAUUUAUGAUUUGAUGAUUAAAAUAUUUUUAUUAUAAGAUUAAGUUACCUUAGGGAUAACAGCGUAAUUUCUUUUAGAGUUCUUAUCAAAAAUGGGGAUUGCGACCUCGAUGUUGGAUUAAAAUUAAUAUUUGGUGAAGGGGCUAAAUAAUUAGGUCUGUUCGACCUUUAAAAUUUUACAUGAUCUGAGUUUAAACCGGUGUGAGCCAGGUUGGUUUCUAUCUUUAAUUAUAUUAAAUAUUUUAGUACGAAAGGACCGAAUAUUUGUAAGAUUUAUUUUUUAUUGAUUAUAAUUAA
rnacentral:rRNA from 1 species